rnacentral:rRNA from 1 species
AACGAACGCUGGCGGCGCGUCUUAAGCAUGCAAGUCGAGCGGGAGGGGCAGCGAUGCCCUGAGAGCGGCGGACGGGUGAGUAACGCGUGGACAACCGACCCUCCGGUGGGGGAUAGCCGAGCGAAAGCGCGGAUAAUACCGCAUGAGACGGAGCGGGGGCGGCCCUGUUCCGGGAAAGCGCCUGCGGGCGCGCCGGGGGACGGGUCUGCGUCCCAUCAGCUAGACGGCGGGGUGAAGGCCCACCGUGGCGACGACGGGUAGCCGGCCUGAGAGGGUGGACGGCCACAUUGGGACUGGGAACGGCCCAGACUCCUACGGGAGGCAGCAGCUAAGGAUCUUCCGCAAUGGGCGAAAGCCUGACGGAGCGACGCCGCGUGGACGAUGGAGGCCGGAAGGUUGUGAAGUCCUUUUCUCGGGGGGGAACAACCGUGCCAGGGAAUGGGCGCGGGGUGACGCGGACCGAGGAAUAAGCCCCGGCAAACUACGUGCCAGCAGCCGCGGUAACACGUAGGGGGCGAGCGUUGUUCGGAUUCAUUGGGCGUAAAGGGCGCGCGGGCGGCCGGGCGAGCCUGCCGUGAAAUCCCCGUGCUCAACACGGGGGGGGUCGGCGGGGACUGUCCGGCUGGAGUACCGGAAGCGGCGGCGGAAUUCCUGGUGUAGGGGUGAAAUCUGUAGAUAUCAGGAAGAACACCGAUGGCGAAGGCGGCCGCCGGGCCGGAUACUGACGCUGAGGCGCGAAGGUGCGGGGAGCGAACAGGUUUAGAUACCCUGGUAGUCCGCACAGUAAACGAUGUGCACCGGGUGGCGGGCGGGAACGCUCGGCACCGAAGCGAACGCAGCAAGUGCACCGCCUGGGGAGUAUGCCCGCAAGGGUGAAACUCAAAGGAAUUGACGGGGGCCCGCACAAGCGGUGGAGCAUGUGGUUUAAUUCGAUGAUACGCGAGGAACCUUACCAGGGCUUGACAUGCGCGGGAGGCGCUCCGAGAGGGGCGCGCCCUUCGGGGCCCGCGCACAGGUGCUGCAUGGCUGUCGUCAGCUCGUGCUGUGAAGUGUUGGGUUAAGUCCCGCAACGAGCGCAACCCCUUCUGCCAGUUGCCAGCAUUCGGUUGGGCACUCUGGCGGGACCGCCGGCGACAAGCCGGAGGAAGGCGGGGACGACGUCAAGUCAUCACGGCCCUUAUGUCCUGGGCGACACACGUGCUACAAUGGCAGGUACAGAGCGAGGCGAGCCUGGAAGGGUGAGCGGACCGCAGAAAGCCUGUCCCAGUACGGACUGGGGCCUGCAACCCGGCCCCACGAAGUUGGAAUCGCUAGUAAUCGCGCAUCAGCAUGGCGCGGUGAAUACGUUCCCGGGCCU